UACGGAGGGUGCGAGCGUUGUCCGGAGUUACUGGGCGUAAAGAGUGCGUAGGCGGACGUGUAAGUGGGUGGUGAAAGCGCCCGGCUAAACCGGGCGAGGUCCAUUCAGACUGCAGGUCUAGAGGCGGAUAGAGGGGUGCGGAAUUCCGGGUGUAGCGGUGAAAUGUGUAGAGAUCCGGAGGAACACCAGUGGUGCAGACGGCGCCCUGGGUCCGAACUGACGCUGAAGCACGAAAGCGUGGGGAGCGAACGGG
rnacentral:rRNA from 1 species